rnacentral:lncRNA from 1 species
GUCUGGUUAAUAUUUUGUUAAGGACUUCCUUUUAGAAAUCCAUUACAUAAGCAAGAGACUUGGCCUCUGUGGUAAUUGCAAACAUUAAGUACGAUGAUGGUUCGAUGCAUCACACAACUGGAGACAAAAACAACCUGAUGUGACUUUGAGCAACAUCUGAGUCACAGAAGAGAAAUUCAAAUGAAUGCUCAACAUACUGGAAGAGGACACAACGGAAAAAGGAUCUCAAAGCCAGGGAUGAACUUCUCUCUCCCACCCUGCUGAAAAGGUGUCUUUUCAUCUGGAAUAGCUCAGGAUCUUCUACCUCUGACCUUGUGCACACUUCAAAACAGUCCUCUCCCAAUGUCGCAGGGAUGCCCAUGGGAGAUCCAGAGAGUCUGAUCUGGAAUGAUAUGUUUCGAGCCAUAGGGGAA